UCAGAUUGUAGGCUGAAACUCGCCUAUAUGAAGUCGGAAUUGCUAGUAAUCGCGGAUCAGCAUGCCGCGGUGAAUACGUUCCCGGGCCUUGUACACACCGCCCGUCACACCAUGAGAGUCGAUAACACCCGAAGCCUGUAGUCUAACAGCAAUGAGGACGCAGUCGAAGGUGGGAUUGAUAAUUAGGGUGAAGUCGUAACAAGGUACC
rnacentral:rRNA from 1 species